rnacentral:rRNA from 1 species
AAAGGGUGCGUAGGCGGCUUAUUAAGUCAGGGGUGAAAGGCGGUAGCUUAACUAUCGGAGUGCCCUUGAUACUGAUGAGCUUGAAUGCAGCUGAGGUAGGCGGAAUGUGACAAGUAGCGGUGAAAUGCAUAGAUAUGUCACAGAACACCGAUUGCGAAGGCAGCUUACUAAAGUGUGAUUGACGCUGAGGCACGAAAGCGUGGGGAUCAAACAGGAUUAGAUACCCCGGU